UACAGAGGGGGCAAGCGUUGUUCGGAAUUACUGGGCGUAAAGGGCGCGUAGGCGGCCCGCUAAGUCGAACGUGAAAUCCCCGAGCUCAACUCGGGAACUGCGUCCGAUACUGGCAGGCUUGAAUCCGGGAGAGGGAUGUGGAAUUCCAGGUGUAGCGGUGAAAUGCGUAGAUAUCUGGAGGAACACCGGUGGCGAAGGCGGCAUCCUGGACCGGUAUUGACGCUGAGGCGCGAAAGCCAGGGGAGCAAACGGG
rnacentral:rRNA from 1 species